rnacentral:rRNA from 1 species
CCUACGGGAGGCUGCAGUAGGGAAUAUUGCACAAUGGGCGAAAGCCUGAUGCAGCAACGCCGCGUGUGCGAUGAAGGCCUUCGGGUCGUAAAGCACUUUUCUGAGAGAUGAGAAAGGACAGUAUCUCAGGAAUAAGUCUCGGCUAACUACGUGCCAGCAGCCGCGGUAACACGUAGGAGGCGAGCGUUAUCCGGAUUCACUGGGCGUAAAGCGCGUGCAGGCGGUUUGGUAAGUUGAUCGUGAAAGCUCCCGGCUCAACUGGGAGAGGUCGUUCAAUACUACCAAACUAGAGAGUAGAAGAGGAAAAUGGAAUUCCCGGUGUAGUGGUGAAAUGCGUAGAUAUCGGGAGGAACACCAGUGGCGAAGGCGAUUUUCUGGUCUAUUUCUGACGCUCAGACGCGACAGCUAGGGUAGCAAACGGGAUUAGAUACCCCGGUAGUC